GAUCGUACGACCUCUAAUUAGAUCCAGAACUACUUGAAACUGAAUACACACGGAGAUGAUAAGGUCUCCCGUAUUCUCCUCCUUCGUAUUUCAUUAAAAUGAAACUAUCUCCUUUAACUUCCCCACUUGAUUCUUCUGAUUUUCUUUUUCUUAGAUUUAGAUGUUUAACUCCAUCAAUUUCAUCACAGAAAUCACACUUCAAUUUUGCAAAACCCCUGAUUUUUAAAGAAACUGGAAUACAGAAAUAUUUUCUUUUUUUAACAGUAAAAUCUCUCUUUACAUUUCCAUCUUCUACUACCUUGAAUUAAGAGAUACAUAGAUUUAGCUUGCAAUGGUGAAAGCGGUGGCGGAUUGAUGGCAAAGACGAUUGUAGAGAAGAAUCAUCACCAAAAAGGUGAAGAAACCCAGGGUGGAGGAGAGCUACAGACGCCAAAUCGUAGAGAUUCUUGGGAUUUUGCAGAUCUUCUUGGUAGAACAACCAAUGGCAUCAUCAUCACCGUUGGGUCAUUCAGUAAUACCAAUUGUGAAUAAACUACAAGCUAUAUUUGCACGAUUAGGAAGUUCAUCAACGAUUGAAUUACCAUUGUUGUGGUUGGUAGAGAUUUUCUACCCAGAGGUUCUGAUUUUUGUACAAGAAGACCAUUUGUUUUAUAAUUGUUGCAGACUAAACAUAAAUCUGAUGAUGGAGAUGAUGAAGAGUAUGGAGAGUUCUUGCACUUGCCUAAGAAGAAAUUCUUUGAUUUCUCUGAUAUUCGCAGAGAGAUUCAGAAAUGCAGAGACUUUAGAGAAGAAAUAAAAAACUCCAUGAUUUCGAGCUACAAGUGAGCAAUGUAGCUAACCAGGCCGAAGGACUAAUGAAAGCUCGGCGAGAUAUGGAAGAAAUAAUGUGAUAACUGGGUACCGCACUCAUAAGAGUUACUAACGAUGCGAAGAUUGUUGUUGUCUGAGAAAAUGAAAUAAUCAAGGUAAUAUCAGUUGUUGACAGUACUGGGCUAUAGGCACACGAACUAGAUGCAUUUGUUAUCUGCAUUUUUUAUAUACUGAAAUCGCACAGUUACAAGCAAAAGGUGUCAUGAACAUUUCGUCUGUGGGUUUACUGUUGCUAAUAAUGAUAAGCACACUAACUAGGUGUAUUACUACUUCCUUUCUUGUGUCUUAUUGGUUUACGGGAACAACCUCAACAAUCUCUCUAUUCCCAGAAGUGCAAUAUCCAAAAAUCUAGUUACAAGCCCGCUUCUCUGAUUUUGGUGCGUGUUCAAGUGGUAGCUGACUUUAAUAUGUUGGCAGUGACGAAGAGUUUCAAAUUUUCAUCCUCCUGAAUAUUUUUUCUUGUGCGGAAGGAAUACAAGAGUGCAUCAGCGUCAGAGACUGGCUUACAACAAUGGAUCUUGGCAUUUUGGAAGGCUGACAUCCUUUGCUGGAAGACGUACAUGUUAUGAUCAAUCCUUAAAAAGGUUAUAUCUUAUUGAAGGUAUAUCAUAUGAUGAACAGAAGGAUCUCUGGCACCUGGAAGUUAAAUAUAUUUUGAUUUUUUUCUUCUUGGUUGUUAUUUUGAACAAGAAGUAGCUUAUGUAGUUGAAUUUGAGAUACUUGGUUUCUCAAAGUUAUAAUUUUUCUAUUGAAGCAUCGUGUGUUACUGAAUUUAAGUUAACUUAAAUAAAAUGGUUCAAAUUUGU